rnacentral:rRNA from 1 species
ACGAACGCUGGCGGCGCGCCUAACACAUGCAAGUCGAACGAGCGAGAGAGAGCUUGCUUUCUCGAGCGAGUGGCGAACGGGUGAGUAACGCGCGAGGAACCUGCCUCAAAGCGGGGGCCAACAGUUGGAAACGACUGCUAAUACCGCAUAAGCCCACGACCCGGCAUCGGCUAGAGGGAAAAGGAGCAAUCCGCUUUGAGAUGGCCUCGCGUCCGAUUAGCUAGUUGGUGAGGUAACGGCCCACCAAGGCGACGAUCGGUAGCCGGACUGAGAGGUUGAACGGCCACAUUGGGACUGAGACACGGCCCAGACUCCUACGGGAGGCAGCAGUGGGGAAUAUUGCACAAUGGGGGAAACCCUGAUGCAGCGACGCCGCGUGGAGGAAGAAGGUCUUCGGAUUGUAAACUCCUGUUGUUGAGGAAGAUAAUGACGGCACUCAACAAGGAAGUGACGGCUAACUACGUGCCAGCAGCCGCGGUAA